rnacentral:rRNA from 1 species
CGAACGGCAGCACGGGCUUGCACCUGGUGGCGAGUGGCGAACGGGUGAGUAAUACAUCGGAACAUGUCCUGUAGUGGGGGAUAGCCCGGCGAAAGCCGGAUUAAUACCGCAUACGAUCCGGAUGAAAGCGGGGGACCUUCGGGCCUCGCGCUAUAGGGUUGGCCGAUGGCUGAUUAGCUAGUUGGUGGGGUAAAGGCCUACCAAGGCGACGAUCAGUAGCUGGUUGAGAGGACGACCAGCCACACUGGGACUGAGACACGGCCCAGACUCCUACGGGAGGCAGCAGUGGGGAAUUUUGGACAAUGGGCGAAAGCCUGAUCCAGCAAUGCCGCGUGUGUGAAGAAGGCCUUCGGGUUGUAAAGCACUUUUGUCCGGAAAGAAAUCCUUGGCUAAUACAGUCGGGGGAUGACGGUACCGGAAGAAUAAGCACGGCUAACUACGUGCCAGCAGCCGCGGUAAUACGUAGGGUGCGAGCGUUAAUCGGAAUUACUGGGCGUAAAGCGUGCGCAGGCGGUUUGCUAACGAUGUGAAAUCCCCGGGCUCAACCUGGGAACUGCAUUGGUGACUGGCAGGCUAGAGUAUGGCAGGGGGGUAGAUUCCACGUGUAGCAGUGAAAUGCGUAGAGAUGUGGAGGAAUACCGAUGGCGAAGGCAGCCCCCUGGGCCAAUACUGACG